rfam:Pantoea sp. At-9b, complete genome.
GGCUUUAACGUUGUGCCAGGAGACUCACGCAGGGAUGCGUGAGUCAGUUCGGGGUGGACAGGGAUGGACUUCCCCGAACGGUCCGUCGGCACGACGUUGAAGCC